UACGUAGGGGGCAAGCGUUGUCCGGAAUCAUUGGGCGUAAAGAGCGUGUAGGCGGUCCGGUAAGUCGGUUGUGAAAGUCCAGGGCUCAACCCUGGGAUGCCGACCGAUACUGUCGGACUAGAGUUCGGAAGAGGCGAGUGGAAUUCCCGGUGUAGCGGUGAAAUGCGCAUAUAUCGGGAGGAACACCAAUGGCGAAGGCAGCUCGCUGGGACGUUACUGACGCUGAGACGCGAAAGCGUGGGGAGCGAACAGG
rnacentral:rRNA from 1 species